rnacentral:misc_RNA from 1 species
GAAUCCAAAAAUAUCAGAUUUUGGCAUGGCCAGAAUAUUCGGAGGUGAUCAAGUUGAAGCAAACACAAAUCGUGUUGUUGGAACGUAGUAAGUAUGAUCUAGAAAGAAACAAAAAUUGAUGAUUUUGUAGUACUUAAUAUCCACAAAUUUGAUCAUACUUAUUUGUGGUAUUGCAGUGGUUACAUGUCACCAGAAUAUGCAAUGCAAGGCCUAUUUUCAAUAAAAUCUGAUGUAUAUAGUUUCGGGGUUCUAUUGCUAGAGAUAAUCACUGGCAGAAAAAACAGCAGCUAUUAUGAUGAGAGUACUUCUUCAAAUUUGGUUGGAUAUGUUUGGGACCUAUGGAGAGAAGGCAGGUCCUUGGAAAUGGUUGAUUUAUCGCUGGGUGAUUCAUACCCUGAAAGUGAAGUAUUGCAAUGCAUCCAAAUCGGGCUAUUGUGUGUGCAAGAAUCUGCAGUGGAUCGGCCUACAAUGUCGUCUGUUGUUUUCAUGUUGAGUAAUGAUACAAUUCUUCCAUCUCCAAAACAACCUGCAUUCAUUAUGAAGAGAACUUACAAUAGUGGAGAUCCAUCAACCAGUGGAGCUAAUUCUGUAAAUGAAGUCACUGUCACUAUGCUUGAACCUCGCUAGCUAGACUCGUCCCCUCUGAGUUGUUCUACACUCUCCCAUAUAUUGUAUAUUGUAUGUUCCUAGAAUUAGGUAUUUAUAUGCUAAAGGGUGGUCGAGCCAGAAAUUUAAGUUAGGUGGCGAAGAUUUUGUAAAAUGUUUUACUCUCUUUUUGAUUCAUCCUACCUUAGUUUCCCAUAUACCGUGCUUCUACAUGUUUCUUAUAUUGUUUAACUGAAGUUCUAUCAUGUAUGACAAUUUUUAAUUGUACAAAAAUAUUAUAUAAAAAUAGAUGUGCCUUUGGAUUGUUU